CCGUCGAUAGCUCAGUUGGCAGAGCGGUGGACUGUAGAUCCAUAGGUCGCUGGUUCGACUCCGGCUGGACGGA
rnacentral:tRNA from 1 species